AGUGAACGCUGGCGGUAGGCCUAACACAUGCAAGUCGAACGGCAGCACAGUAAGAGCUUGCUCUUGCGGGUGGCGAGUGGCGGACGGGUGAGGAAUACAUCGGAAUCUACUUUUUCGUGGGGGAUAACGUAGGGAAACUUACGCUAAUACCGCAUACGACCUACGGGUGAAAGCAGGGGAUCUUCGGACCUUGCGCGAUUGAAUGAGCCGAUGUCGGAUUAGCUAGUUGGCGGGGUAAAGGCCCACCAAGGCGACGAUCCGUAGCUGGUCUGAGAGGAUGAUGAGCCACACUGGAACUGAGACACGGUCCAGACUCCUACGGGAGGCAGCAGUGGGGAAUAUUGGACAAUGGGCGCAAGCCUGAUCCAGCCAUACCGCGUGGGUGAAGAAGGCCUUCGGGUUGUAAAGCCCUUUUGUUGGGAAAGAAAAGCAGCAGGUUAAUACCCCGCUGUUCUGACGGUACCCAAAGAAUAAGCACCGGCUAACUUCGUG
rnacentral:rRNA from 1 species